GGGGGUGAGUGAGGACGCGGCCCCGCAGCGCCGCCGGGGGCCGGCCCGGCGCUUUACCUGCUCUGCCAGCCCUGCAGGAGGCUCAACUCUUCUUCUGAUGACCACAGUAUUCAGAAGACGUUGGAUGAACAAGGCGUGCUCCUUCAGGAAGCUCAGAUCCUGCUCGCUCAGGAUGAGGAGGAGGUACCUUCAUUUGUCCUCAUAAUGUUACAAUGGCAGCCCAAAGCUGUGGAAACAAACUCUUUAAUGAGAAUUUGCUGAAAGAUAAUUCUGUCAGGAAAAGAAGCCACCGUACACAUAAAUAGAGAUGCCUCUCAUACCUUUCUAAACAAUAAAGCUCAAGUAACAAUGGUGCACUCGUCAGGGAGUUUCUGAAAUAAAAGGGAUAACAGGCUAUCAUCGGACAGCACAUCAGGUCCCAUUAUGGAUGAGAGAACUGCAGUCACUUAGCUGGACUUCCCAUCACGUGAAUGUCGGUCACAUCCAUGAACUUAGGCUUCCAUAACUCAACUGGCCAGACAGCCAUUUUACAUCUUGAGCAGCUAGAAAUAGUUUUCACUUCAAGUCCAGACACUUCUUUAAUCUCAGAUCCUUCACUGCAACAAUGUGUUGGUGCCAAGUCCCCCUCCAGAGCUGCUCAGUGUCAGUGUGAUGCUAGAGCACAGGACUGUACCUAACAAUCUAAGAAACCAGUGGUAGUAAACCACAACACUAAGAAAAUCCCGACUAUUGUUUUUUAAGAGCUUGCAACUCCACUGAAAACUUUCUUACAUUAAAAUGUGGAGGCAACUAUGCCAAUGAAUGUGCAGCAGAUCUGCAGCCAUCUGUGGCAUCACAGUUAUAAGGGAAGAGGUACAAACCAUUCCAUUCCAGUUAAAGCAAAGUUUUUCUAGAUGCGGCAUUCCAUGACAUAAUAGUACAUGAUGAGAGAGACCUGGUAGCUUUUUUUGUUUGCAGAUGAGAACAGUUAUGCUACAUUAGCCAGUGCACUUUACCUAAAGAUCGAGAUUUUAAUUCAUUGUGCUUUUUUUUUCCUCCCUCAAAAAUCACUUUGCAGUCAACAGACUGCAGGAGAAAAAAACAACAUAAAUAAAACCUGUUUUGAUUAAUAACUUUGCCAAAAUUCUAUAUAGAAUUACAUUGAAAUAGGG